GAUGAACGCUGGCGGCGUGCCUAAUACAUGCAAGUCGAGCGAACGGACGAGAAGCUUGCUUCUCUGAUGUUAGCGGCGGACGGGUGAGUAACACGUGGAUAACCUACCUAUAAGACUGGGAUAACUUCGGGAAACCGGAGCUAAUACCGGAUAAUAUUUUGAACCGCAUGGUUCAAAAGUAAAAUACGGUCUUGCUGUCACUUAUAGAUGGAUCCGCGCUGCAUUAGCUAGUUGGUAAGGUAACGGCUUACCAAGGCAACGCUGCAUAGCCGACCUGAGAGGGUGAUCGGCCACACUGGAACUGAGACACGGUCCAGACUCCUACGGGAGGCAGCAGUAGGGAAUCUUCCGCAAUGGGCGAAAGCCUGACGGAGCAACGCCGCGUGAGUGAUGAAGGUCUUCGGAUCGUAAAACUCUGUUAUUAGGGAAGAACAUAUGUGUAAGUAACUGUGCACAUCUUGACGGUACCUAAUCAGAAAGCCACGGCUAACUACGUG
rnacentral:rRNA from 1 species